rnacentral:tRNA from 1 species
GAAGAUAUAGCUCAGUGGUAGAGCGCAUGCUUAGGCUGCACAAGGUCCUAGGUUCAACGCCUAGUACCUCCA